CCCUUAGAUGUUCUGGGCUGCACGCGCGCUACACUGAUGCGUUCCACGUGUCUACAACCUUAGCCGAUAGGCUUGGGUAAUCAUUUGAACACGCAUCGUGAUGGGGCUUGAUUAUUGCAAUUAUUAAUCAUAAACGAGGAAUUCCUAGUAGUGGCGCAUCAUCAGUGCGUCGCGAUUACGUCCCUGCCCUUUGUACACACCGCCCGUCGCUCCUACCGAUUGAGCAUUCCGGUGAAUACUUCGGACCGAAAGCUUGCAAGGUUCGCCUUCUAGCUUUUGGAAAGUCGAGUGAACCUUAAUGCUUAGAGGAAGGAGAAGUCGUNACA
rnacentral:rRNA from 1 species